AGAGAGAGACAUGCGCGCAUAUCAAUAAGCGGAGGAAAAGAAACUAACAAGGAUUCCCUUAGUAACGGCGAGUGAAGCGGGAAGAGCUCAAAUUUGAAAUCUUCAAGGUUUUACCUUGACGAAUUGUAGUUUAAAGAAGUGUUUUCUGCUGAAGUUUUGGUAAAAGUUCUUUGGAAUAGGACAUCAUAGAGGGUGAGGAAUCCCGUAUUUGACCAUUAUUUUCAGCUUUGUGAUACACUUUCAAAGAGUCGGAUUGUUUGGGAAUGCAGUCCAAAAUGGGUGGUAAAUUUCAUCUAAAGCUAAAUAUUGGCGAGAGACCGAUAGCGAACAAGUACCGUGAGGGAAAGAUGAAAAGAACUUUGAAAAGAGAGUUAAACAGUACGUGAAAUUGUCAAAAGGGAAGCGUUUGACACCAGUGUUGUUUUCUCGAAAAUCAAUUAAAAAUGGCUCGAUUUUGUAUUGUUGAGACCUUAAAAGCUCACUGUACAUUUUUCGUGUCUUUUUUAAUGCACUUUUCGUUUAACAAGUCAACAUCAGUUUCUUUUGUUGUAAAAGGGUCAUUGGAAGGUGGCUUUCUUUUCGGAGAAAGUGUUUAUAGCCUUUGGCCUCUGCAAUCGGAAGAGACUGAGGUCUGCAGCGUAGACUCUUCGGGGUUAGAUACAUUUGUGCUAAGUUAUAGCUUUUUAUAGACAACUUGUUGACUAUAAUUAGUCUUGUAGGCUUACUCGCUUAUGCUAUUUUACCUACGCUUAGGAUGUUGAGUCGUAGAGCACGCAG
rnacentral:rRNA from 1 species